UCAAGCGACUAAGUGUAUGUGGUGGAUGCCUUGGCGAUUACAGGCGAAGAAGGACGUCGCAGCCUGCGAAAAGCCGUGGGGAGCUGGCAAGCGAGCACUGAUCCACGGAUGUCCGAAUGAGGGAACUCACCCGCAAGGGUAUCUUGAAGUGAAUACAUAGCUUCAAGAGGCGAACGCAGCGAACUGAAACAUCUAAGUAGCUGCAGGAAAAGAAAUCAACCGAGAUUCUGAAAGUAGCGGCGAGCGAAAUUGGAAGAGCCUGCAAGUGAUAUUGAAUUCGAUACUGGAACGGUCUGGAAAGUCCGGCUACAGAGGGUGACAGCCCCGUACGGGAAAUUGGGUUCAAGGUACUGAGCUUGCGAGAAGUAGAGCGGGACACGUGAAAUCCUGCUCGAAGAUGGGGGGACCAUCCUCCAAGGCUAAAUACUCGUAAUCGACCGAUAGCGAACCAGUACUGUGAAGGAAAGGCGAAAAGAACCCCGGGAGGGGAGUGAAAUAGAUCCUGAAACCGCAUACAUACAAACAGUAGGAGCCCGCAAGGGUGACUGCGUACCUUUUGCAUAAUGGGUCAGCGACUUACGUUCAAUGGCAAGCUUAACCGAGUAGGGGAGGCGCAGCGAAAGCGAGUCCGAACAGGGCGAUAUGAGUCGUUGGGCGUAGACCCGAAACCAGAUGAUCUAUCCAUGGCCAGGCUGAAGGUGUGGUAACACACACUGGAGGGCCGAACCGACUAGUGUUGCAAAAUUAGCGGAUGAGCUGUGGAUAGGGGUGAAAGGCUAAACAAAUCUGGAGAUAGCUGGUUCUCCCCGAAAACUAUUGAGGUAGUGCCUCGUGUAUGGCUCCAGGGGGUAGAGCACUGUUAUGGCUAGGGGGACAUGGCGUCUUACCAAACCAUGGCAAACUCCGAAUACUUGGAAGUCUGAGCACGGGAGACAGAGCACCGGGUGCUAACGUCCGGACUCAAAAGGGAAACAACCCAGACCGCCGGCUAAGGUCCCUAAUAUUGACUAAGUGGAAAACGAAGUGGGAAGGCUAAGACAGUCAGGAAGUUGGCUUAGAAGCAGCCAUCCUUCAAAGAAAGCGUAAUAGCUCACUGAUCGAGUCUUCCUGCGCGGAAGAUGUAACGGGGCUAAGUCAAUAACCGAAGCCGCGGAUUCGCAGCAAUGCGAGUGGUAGGGGAGCGUUCUGUAAGCCUGCGAAGGCGGAUCUGCGAGGACCGCUGGAGGUAUCAGAAGUGCGAAUGCUGACAUGAGUAACGUUAAAGCGGGUGAAAAGCCCGCUCGCCGCAAGCCCAAGGUUUCCUGCUCUACGUUCAUCGGAGCAGGGUGAGUCGGCCCCUAAGGUCAGGCUGAGAAGCGUAGCUGAUGGGAAGCUGGUUAAUAUUCCAGCACCGAUUUCAAGUGCGAAGGGGGGACGGAGUCCUGAAGGUCAUCCGGGUGUUGGAUAUCCCGGUUUACGAGCGUAGGAGGUUGACAGGCAAAUCCGUCAACGAAUCUCCAAGGCGAAGGAUCGAGGUUGAGAGAUCAACUGAAGUGACUGAAUGGGCUUCCAGGAAAAGCCUCUAAGCAUCAGCUUGGAAUUGACCGUACCGCAAACCGACACUGGUGGGCGAGCUGAAUAUGCUCAGGCGCUUGAGAGAACUCAGGAGAAGGAACUCGGCAAAUUGACACCGUAACUUCGGGAUAAGGUGUGCCUUUGUAGUGUGAAGGGAGAAACACUCCGAGCAUGAAGAGGCCUCAGAGAAUCGGUGGCUGCAACUGUUUACUAAAAACACAGCACUCUGCAAAGAUGAAAGUCGACGUAUAGGGUGUGAUGCCUGCCCGGUGCUGGAAGAUUAAUUGAUGGGGUGCAAGCUCCUGAUCGAAGUCCCAGUAAACGGCGGCCGUAACUAUAACGGUCCUAAGGUAGCGAAAUUCCUUGUC
rnacentral:rRNA from 1 species